CCCCAACCCCACCCCAUGUGAUUCUGCUGCAGGUGAUCUGAGAAAUGGAAUCACACAAAAGUGGCUCUGACCACAUCCCAUUUCUUACCUGGCGUAUCUUACAUGAGAGAAGAAGGAGAUUCUAAGGCCUUGUGUCGAAGGUCUUUUUCUGGGAUUUCUGCUUAUAGGUGCCUCUUCGGGAACAGGCAGUGAGAACCUGGAAUGACAGUAACAAGUCUCCUCCAAAGCAGCGCUGUGUCUGUGCUGUAUGGUCAGAUGGGCACACCAGCAGCUGCCUUCUCUGACUCUUCUGUAUUUUCAGGAGAUGGCAUUUUUAAAAAAUAAUAUUUUUAUGAGAUGAAUCUCAUUUUCUCUAAUUCUAUAAAUAAGGAAACAAAAGCAUAAACAUCUGCACUUAGGGGAACAAGUGACCAAAGCCAGAUGCUCCCAGCUCCAGGGGAUUCACAGCAGUGAAUGGUGAACUUGCCCACUGUGCAAACUAUUGACCUGUGGCUGGAUGCUCUGCAUUUGCCAAAAAGAACUGGUUCUGCCCACGGUGCAUCAAUGCUUAAGGAGCCACCUCUCUCUGGACCUUGGUCUUCCUUCCUUAAGUCACUGCGGAGGCAUUUGCAAAGCAAGCCAACACCUAAAUUUUAUUCACUUAAGUAGAACAAAGCAACUGCUAAUAGAAAUAGCCUGAUAACUAGUGGAAAAAAACACAGGACUGAUGGAAGCCACGGGACUUGUGUUUAGAGCUCGGUUCAUUACUUUCACCCAGCCCGCCACUGACAAAUCUUUCAACCUUUCUGAGUCUCUCUAUCCUCAUCUGCAAAAUGGGGUUAAUGGAGGAUUUCAUCUGCAACGUGGGGGAUAAAAGAGAUGAAAAGAGAUGACGUGGGUACUUUAUGCCCGAAAAUACAUGAGUUGAAUCUUAACAAUAAUAUGGCUGUGCGGUUACAGCUAAAACUUUUUCUCCUUUCGCUGUCAGAAAUGCCUUCGGUAGAUUUCAAAUUCUUUUUCACACAGUCUGCUCUUCUUUGGUGGGGGAUCCCAUUACAUGGCUUGUAACUCGAGUAUACAGGGCUGCAAUGUGCGCUCGGCUUCCUUUCUCAAGGGCUGAUGCGAGCUUUUAAGAGAAGACACAAAAGUACAAAGCAAAAAUUUCAGCACAUGCCAUCAAAUCUUGGAAAGUCAUCUAAAGGAGGAAAAGAUUGCCGCUGAGAAAGGAAAAAGGCUCUUUUCUGGGCAUCAUUUCUGCUCUUCUUGGAAAAA
rnacentral:lncRNA from 1 species